GAAAACUAAGGCUGAGGCGUGAUGACGAGGCACUACGGUGCUGAAGCAACAAAUGCCCUGCUUCCAGGAAAAGCCUCUAAGCAUCAGGUAACAUCAAAUCGUACCCCAAACCGACACAGGUGGUCAGGUAGAGAAUACCAAGGCGCUUGAGAGAACUCGGGUGAAGGAACUAGGCAAAAUGGUGCCGUAACUUCGGGAGAAGGCACGCUGAUAUGUAGGUGAAGUCCCUCGCGGAUGGAGCUGAAAUCAGUCGAAGAUACCAGCUGGCUGCAACUGUUUAUUAAAAACACAGCACUGUGCAAACACGAAAGUGGACGUAUACGGUGUGACGCCUGCCCGGUGCCGGAAGGUUAAUUGAUGGGGUUAGCGCAAGCGAAGCUCUUGAUCGAAGCCCCGGUAAACGGCGGCCGUAACUAUAACGGUCCUAAGGUAGCGAAAUUCCUUGUCGGGUAAGUUCCGACCUGCACGAAUGGCGUAAUGAUGGCCAGGCUGUCUCCACCCGAGACUCAGUGAAAUUGAACUCGCUGUGAAGAUGCAGUGUACCCGCGGCAAGACGGAAAGACCCCGUGAACCUUUACUAUAGCUUGACACUGAACAUUGAGCCUUGAUGUGUAGGAUAGGUGGGAGGCUUUGAAGUGUGGACGCCAGUCUGCAUGGAGCCGACCUUGAAAUACCACCCUUUAAUGUUUGAUGUUCUAACGUUGACCCGUAAUCCGGGUUGCGGACAGUGUCUGGUGGGUAGUUUGACUGGGGCGGUCUCCUCCUAAAGAGUAACGGAGGAGCACGAAGGUUGGCUAAUCCUGGUCGGACAUCAGGAGGUUAGUGCAAUGGCAUAAGCCAGCUUGACUGCGAGCGUGACGGCGCGAGCAGGUGCGAAAGCAGGUCAUAGUGAUCCGGUGGUUCUGAAUGGAAGGGCCAUCGCUCAACGGAUAAAAGGUACUCCGGGGAUAACAGGCUGAUACCGCCCAAGAGUUCAUAUCGACGGCGGUGUUUGGCACCUCGAUGUCGGCUCAUCACAUCCUGGGGCUGAAGUAGGUCCCAAGGGUAUGGCUGUUCGCCAUUUAAAGUGGUACGCGAGCUGGGUUUAGAACGUCGUGAGACAGUUCGGUCCCUAUCUGCCGUGGGCGCUGGAGAACUGAGGGGGGCUGCUCCUAGUACGAGAGGACCGGAGUGGACGCAUCACUGGUGUUCGGGUUGUCAUGCCAAUGGCACUGCCCGGUAGCUAAAUGCGGAAGAGAUAAGUGCUGAAAGCAUCUAAGCACGAAACUUGCCCCGAGAUGAGUUCUCCCUGACUCCUUGAGAGUCCUGAAGGAACGUUGAAGACGACGACGUUGAUAGGCCGGGUGUGUAAGCGCAGCGAUGCGUUGAGCUAACCGGUACUAAUGAACCGUGAGG
rnacentral:rRNA from 1 species